UCCUCCGCUGAACAAAACCAAAACAGUUUCCAAUGCAAAAUGAAUCGCUAAUAAAAAGCCGGUGGUGUUUACAUGUCGUUUGCGUAAUGGCUGGGAAUGAUGAUGAACUGGAAAGACGUGCGGUGGAGGAGCUGCUCAAAGAGGCUAAAAGAGGCAGAGUGCGUGCAGAGACCAUGGGUCCAGCCGGAUGGAUGAAGUGUCCUCUGGGAAGCACCAAUAAACGCUUUCUGCUGAACAGCCUGC